UAUGUGAUCGUCUCUCGCAUAUCAAUAAGCGGAGGAAAAGAAACUAACAAGGAUUCCCCUAGUAACGGCGAGUGAAGCGGGAAGAGCUCAAAUUUGAGAUCUUAAAGGGUUUCCCUUUACGAAUUGUAGUUUAAAGAAGUGUUUUCUGUUGAGGUUUUGGUAAAAGUUCUUUGGAAUAGGACAUCAUAGAGGGUGAGAAUCCCGUAUUUGACCUUUACUUUCAACUUUGUGAUACACUUUCAAAGAGUCGGAUUGUUUGGGAAUGCAGUCCAAAAUGGGUGGUAAAUUUCAUCUAAAGCUAAAUAUUGGCGAGAGACCGAUAGCGAACAAGUACCGUGAGGGAAAGAUGAAAAGAACUUUGAAAAGAGAGUUAAACAGUACGUGAAAUUGUCAAAAGGGAAGCGUUUGACACCAGUGUUGUUUUUCUGAAAAUCAAUUAAAGGACUGUUUAUGCUAAGCUGUUUAGACUUUAUCAGCUAUCUGUUUAGUUUUGAGCUUUUCUUUAAUGCACUUUUCAGUUAACAAGUCAACAUCAAUUUCUUUUGCUGUAAAAAAGCUUGAGGAAGGUGGCUUGAGAUUCGUCUUAAGUGUUUAUAGCCUCUUGCCUAUGCAGUCGGAGAGAUUGAGGUCUGCAGCGUAGAUCCUUCGGGGCUAAAUGCAUUUGUGCUAAGUUAUAGCAUUUUAUAGACAACUUGUUGACUAUGAUUUGUCUUGUAGCUUACUCGCUUAUGUUAUUUUACCUACGCUUAGGAUGUUGAGCGCAUGUCUCUCUCU
rnacentral:rRNA from 1 species